CGUUCUAUGGCCGAACUGGUGAAAGCAUCGCAGACGAAGAUGCGGGUUCGAGUCCCGCUGGAACGG
rnacentral:tRNA from 1 species